rnacentral:sRNA from 1 species
AUUUAGGUUAAGGAUUGCAGCGGCAUCCUUUUUUGCCAUUAAAAGCAAAAAAGAUAUAGCGGAAAGCCUGACCUUAG